UCCUAUUAAUAGCAGCUCGCCUGCAGCGUCCCGGCGAAGCUGGGGUGGCUUCAUCCGAAGGGAUUUCCGAAGGGAUCCUUGCAAGCCGCAGAACUCAACACAAGAGGGCUCCAGCUCCUUUUGUCAGGGAAAAAAAUAAAAAAAAUAAAAGGAAAUCUGUGAGAAGAGCGCAGCGAGGCUGAGAGGAGCAGCGAGCAGCGCCGAGCGCGGUGGCAAAGCUGGCAGGACAUGCCGUGUGUGUGCCCGGGGGUUUUCCAGGGAACACCUGGAAAAACCAAAGCGUGAGAGCCUCUGGGACACGGAAUGAAAAGUGGACUUCAGAGGAAGCAAGGAAAGACAUUGUCAUCCAUGUCUGAAAAUAGCCCACAACAGAAGGAAGGAAACGGAUGUCAGUCAUUUCUGCUGCUCAUCUCUCAUUUCCCCCUGGAAAAUUUUAUUCCACAUUCAUUACAAGCCUGUGUGUCCAGGACAAAAAACAUCCCAUGGAAGUGCUGCAUUCCAGCCAGGAAACUCAGUGCACCCAGUGGGGAAAAAAAGGAGCAUUUCCCUCUGUGUUUGCUGGCAGCUGAGGGAGUUGUCUGCAAAAGGUUUGAUUGGGCUGAAAACUGUAGUGAGUUGGAAUGAAAU